AAAUAUAAAAAAAGAAGAUGUGGUAUGAUUGCCAAUGAGACAACUCUCCACAAGAGACCAACAUGACACAGAAAUUAACAACUAUAGGUCACCGUAUGGCCUUCAACAAUGAGCAAAGCUCAUACCACAUAGUCAGCUAUAAAAGGCCCCGAAAUGACGAUGUAAAACAAUUCAAAUGAGAAAACAAACGGCCUUAUUUAUGUACAAAAAAUGAAAAAAAGUUCAACUAUAUCCUAAAAGAGCAAAAAAUUAAUAAAAAUAAAAA
rnacentral:lncRNA from 1 species